rnacentral:rRNA from 1 species
CCUACGGGCGGCAGCAGUGGGGAAUAUUGGACAAUGGGGGCAACCCUGAUCCAGCCAUGCCGCGUGUGUGAAGAAGGCCCUCGGGUUGUAAAGCACUUUCAGUGAGGAAGAACGCCUGGUGGUUAAUACCCAUCAGGAAAGACAUCACUCACAGAAGAAGCACCGGCUAACUCCGUGCCAGCAGCCGCGGUAAUACGGAGGGUGCGAGCGUUAAUCGGAAUUACUGGGCGUAAAGCGCGCGUAGGUGGCUUGAUAAGCCGGUUGUGAAAGCCCCGGGCUCAACCUGGGAACGGCAUCCGGAACUGUCAAGCUAGAGUGCAGGAGAGGAAGGUAGAAUUCCCGGUGUAGCGGUGAAAUGCGUAGAGAUCGGGAGGAAUACCAGUGGCGAAGGCGGCCGUCUGGACUGACACUGACACUGAGGUGCGAAAGCGUGGGUAGCAAACAGGAUUAGAUACCCGGGUAGUC